UGGGGAAUAUUGCACAAUGGACGAAAGUCUGAUGCAGCAACGCCGCGUGGAGGAUGACACAUUUCGGUGCGUAAACUCCUUUUAUAUGGGAAGAUAAUGACGGUACCAUAUGAAUAAGCACCGGCUAACUCCGUGCCAGCAGCCGCGGUAAUACGGAGGGUGCAAGCGUUACUCGGAAUCACUGGGCGUAAAGAGCGUGUAGGCGGGUAUAUAAGUCAGAAGUGAAAUCCAAUAGCUUAACUAUUGAACUGCUUUUGAAACUGUGUACCUAGAAUGUGGGAGAGGUAGAUGGAAUUUCUGGUGUAGGGGUAAAAUCCGUAGAGAUCAGAAGGAAUACCGAUUGCGAAGGCGAUCUACUGGAACAUUAUUGACGCUGAGACGCGAAAGCGUGGGGAGCAAACA
rnacentral:rRNA from 1 species